rnacentral:lncRNA from 1 species
AGGGAUAGUAAUAGAGAGAGGGAUAGUAAUAGAGAGAGAGGAUAGUAAUAGAGAGAGGGAUAGUAAUGGAGAGAGAGGAUAGUAAUAGAGAGAGGGAUAGUAAUGGAGAGAGAAGGAUAGUAAUGGAGAGAGAGUGAUAGUAAUAGAGAGAGAGGGAUAGUAAGAGAGAGAGACAGUAAGACAGAGAGACUGGGGAUAGUAAUACAUUUACAUUUUAGUCAUUUAGCAGACGCUCUUAUCCAGAGCGACUUACAGUAGUGAAUGCAUACAUUUCAAACAUUUCAUUUCAUGCAUUCCCCGUGGGAAUCGAACCCACAACCCUGGCGUUGCACACACCAUGCUGGCGUAGCAAACACCAUCUUCUACCAACUGAGCCACAGGGAAGGGUAAUAGAGAGAGAGAUAGUAAUAGAGAAAAAGAGGGAUAGUAAUAGAGAGAGAGGUGGGAUAGUAAUAAAGAGAUAGGGAUAGUAAUAGAGAGAGAGAGAUAGUAAUAGAGAGAGGGAUAGUAAUAGAGAGAGAGGGAUAGUAAUAGAGAGAGAGGGAUAUUCAUAGAGAGAGGAUAGUAAUAGAG